rnacentral:rRNA from 1 species
GAUGAACGCUGGCGGCGUGCCUAAUACAUGCGAGUCGAGCGAACAGACGAGGAGCUUGCUCCUCUGACGUUAGCGGCGGACGGGUGAGUAACACGUGGAUAGCCUACCUAUAAGACUGGGAUAACUUCGGGAAACCGGAGCUAAUACCGGAUAAUAUAUUGAACCGCAUGGUUCAAUAGUGAAAGACGGUUUUGCUGUCACUUAUAGAUGGAUCCGCGCCGCAUUAGCUAGUUGGUAAGGUAACGGCUUACCAAGGCAACGAUGCGUAGCCGACCUGAGAGGGUGAUCGGCCACACUGGAACUGAGACACGGUCCAGACUCCUACGGGAGGCAGCAGUAGGGAAUCUUCCGCAAUGGGCGAAAGCCUGACGGAGCAACGCCGCGUGAGUGAUGAAGGUCUUCGGAUCGUAAAACUCUGUUAUUAGGGAAGAACAAAUGUGUAAGUAACUAUGCACGUCUUGACGGUACCUAAUCAGAAAGCCACGGCUAACUACGUG